CCCGCCCGCCCCCGCCGCGCUCCGGCGUCUCUUCGGCGCGCCCGGCUCCCGGCUGUCCCCGCCCGGCGUGCGGGCCGGUGUAUGGGCCUCUCACCAUGUCGCUGAAGCCCCAGCAGCAACAGCAGCAGCAGCAGCAGCAGCCGCCCGCGGCUGCCAAUGCCCGUAAGCCCGGCGGCAGCGGCGGCCUUCUCACGUCGCCCGCCACCGCGCCGUCGCCGUCCUCAAUCUCGUCGUCUUCGGCAGUGGCUUCCUCCUCCUCGGUGGCGGCGGCGAGCGCAGGCGGCGGGCGGCCCGGCCUGGGCAGAGGUCGAAACAGCAAAGGACUGCCUCAAUCUACGAUUUCUUUUGAUGGAAUCUAUGCAAAUAUGAGGAUGGUUCAUAUACUUACAUCAGUUGUUGGAUCCAAAUGUGAAGUACAAGUGAAAAACGGAGGUAUAUAUGAAGGAGUUUUUAAAACCUACAGUCCUAAGUGUGAUUUGGUGCUUGAUGCUGCACAUGAGAAAAGUAUGGAAUCCAGUUCGGGGCCAAAACGUGAAGAAAUAAUGGAGAGUAUUUUGUUCAAGUGUUCAGACUUUGUUGUGGUACAGUUUAAAGACAUGGACUCCAGUUAUGCAAGAAGAGUUCCUUCAGAAACAGACGCUUUUACUGACUCUGCUAUCAGUGCUAAAGUGAAUGGUGAACACAAAGAGAAGGACCUGGAGCCCUGGGAUGCAGGUGAACUCACUACCAGUGAGGAACUGGAGGCUUUGGAAAACGACGUAUCUAAUGGAUGGGAUCCCAAUGAUAUGUUUCGAUAUAAUGAAGAAAAUUAUGGUGUAGUGUCUACAUAUGAUAGCAGUUUAUCUUCAUAUACGGUACCCUUAGAAAGGGAUAACUCAGAAGAAUUUUUAAAACGAGAAGCAAGGGCAAACCAGUUAGCAGAAGAAAUUGAAUCAAGUGCCCAGUACAAAGCCCGAGUGGCCCUGGAAAAUGAUGAUAGGAGUGAAGAAGAAAAAUACACAGCAGUUCAGAGAAAUUCGAGUGAACGUGAGGGCCACGGCAUAAACACUAGGGAAAAUAAAUAUAUUCCUCCUGGACAAAGAAACAGAGAAGUCAUAUCCUGGGGAAGUGGGAGACAGAAUUCACCGCGUAUGGGCCAGCCUGGAUCGGGCUCCAUGCCGUCAAGAUCCACCUCUCACACUUCAGAUUUCAACCCGAAUUCUGGUUCAGACCAAAGAGUAGUUAAUGGAGUUUUUAUACUUUCCUUCAUAUCAUUUGUUCUGUCAGGUGUUCCCUGGCCAUCGCCUUGCCCAUCUCCUUCCUCUCGCCCACCUUCUCGCUACCAGUCAGGUCCCAACUCUCUUCCACCUCGGGCAGCCACCCCUACACGGCCGCCCUCCAGGCCCCCCUCGCGGCCAUCCAGACCCCCGUCUCACCCCUCUGCUCAUGGUUCUCCAGCUCCUGUCUCUACUAUGCCUAAACGCAUGUCUUCAGAAGGGCCUCCGAGGAUGUCCCCAAAGGCCCAGCGACACCCUCGAAAUCACAGAGUUUCUGCUGGGAGGGGUUCCAUUUCCAGUGGCCUAGAAUUUGUAUCCCAUACUCCACCAAGUGAAGCAGCUGCUCCUCCAGCAGCAAGGACCAGUCCUGCGGGGGGCACAUGGUCAUCAGUGGUCAGCGGGGUUCCAAGAUUAUCCCCUAAAACUCACAGACCCAGGUCUCCCAGACAGAACAGUAUUGGAAAUACUCCUCCUGGGCCAGUUCUUGGUUCUCCCCAAGCUGGUAUUAUUCCAGCUGAAGCUGUUGCUAUGCCUGUUCCAGCUGCAUCUCCCACGCCUGCCAGUCCUGCAUCCAAUAGAGCUGUUACCCCAUCUAUUGAGGCUAAGGAUUCCAGGCUUCAAGAUCAGAGGCAGAAUUCUCCUGCAGGGAAUAAAGAAAAUAUGAAGCCCAGUGAAACAUCACCUAGCUUCUCAAAGACUGAAAAUAAAGGUAUAUCCCCAAUUGUUUCUGAACAUAGAAAACAGAUUGAUGACUUAAAGAAGUUUAAGAAUGAUUUUAGGUUACAGCCAAGUUCUACUUCUGAAUCUAUGGAUCAACUGCUAAACAAAAAUAGAGAGGGAGAAAAAUCAAGAGAUUUGGUCAAAGACAAAAUUGAACCAAAUGCUAAGGAUUCUUUCGUUGAAAAUAGCAGCAGCAAUUGCACCAGCGGCAGCAGCAAACCGAGCAGUCCCAGCAUUUCCCCUUCAGUCCUCAGUAAUGCGGAGCACAAGAGGGGACCUGAGGUCACAUCCCAAGGGGUUCAGACUUCCAGUCCGGGAUGCAAACAAGAUAAAGAUGAUAAAGAGGAGAAGAAAGAUGCAGCUGAGCAAGUGAGAAAAUCAACACUGAAUCCUAAUGCAAAGGAGUUUAACCCUCGUUCCUUUUCUCAGCCAAAGCCUUCUACCACCCCAACUUCACCUCGUCCUCAAGCACAACCUAGCCCAUCUAUGGUGGGUCAUCAGCAGCCAGCUCCAGUUUAUACUCAGCCUGUCUGUUUUGCACCAAAUAUGAUGUAUCCAGUCCCAGUGAGCCCAGGCGUGCAACCUUUAUACCCUAUACCUAUGACGCCCAUGCCAGUGAAUCAAGCCAAGACAUAUAGAGCAGGUAAAGUACCAAAUAUGCCCCAACAGCGGCAAGACCAGCAUCAUCAGAGCACCAUGAUGCACCCAGCCUCAGCAGCAGGCCCACCGAUUGUGGCCACCCCACCAGCUUAUUCCACACAAUAUGUUGCCUAUAGUCCUCAGCAGUUUCCAAAUCAGCCUCUUGUUCAGCAUGUGCCACAUUAUCAGUCUCAGCAUCCUCAUGUCUAUAGUCCUGUAAUACAGGGUAAUGCUAGAAUGAUGGCACCACCAGCACAUGCCCAGCCUGGUUUAGUGUCUUCUUCAGCAACUCAGUACGGGGCUCAUGAGCAGACGCAUGCGAUGUAUGCAUGCCCCAAAUUACCAUACAACAAGGAGACAAGCCCUUCUUUCUACUUUGCCAUUUCCACUGGCUCCCUUGCUCAGCAGUAUGCGCACCCUAAUGCUACCCUGCACCCACACACUCCACAUCCUCAGCCUUCAGCUACUCCCACCGGACAGCAGCAAAGCCAACAUGGUGGAAGUCAUCCUGCACCCAGUCCGGUUCAGCACCAUCAGCACCAGGCCGCCCAGGCGCUCCAUCUGGCCAGUCCACAGCAGCAGUCAGCCAUUUACCACGCGGGGCUCGCACCAACCCCACCUUCCAUGACCCCUGCCUCCAAUACGCAGUCGCCACAGAAUAGUUUCCCAACAGCACAACAGACCGUCUUUACGAUUCAUCCUUCUCAUGUUCAGCCGGCAUACACCAAUCCUCCCCACAUGGCCCAUGUACCUCAGGCUCAUGUACAGUCAGGAAUGGUUCCUUCUCAUCCAACUGCCCAUGCGCCAAUGAUGCUAAUGACGACACAGCCACCCGGCGGUCCCCAGGCCGCCCUCGCUCAAAGUGCACUACAGCCCAUUCCAGUCUCGACAACAGCGCAUUUCCCCUAUAUGACGCACCCUUCAGUUCUGGUUCAAGGUAUCUCUAGAAAAAGACAAGACUGAGACAUUCUCUUUGGUGGAUAAAGGUCCGCUCCAGAAGGAGGAAGGCUGGCCAGAGCUGGGCAGCACUGAGAUCCCACAUCCUCAGCCUGACGCUGGUUCUAAAUGAUCAAAGGCAGAAGAUUUAUACCAGAUAAAGCCAUAUGGAUUGCUGGUCUAAAAUUCAAGGCAGGUUAGUUGACUUAAUUCUUUGGUGCUGGUGACUAUUAGUUUGUAAAAGUUGAUUCAAGACGGAAGAAUGAAGUGAUGGUGCUGGGAGCAGUCAGGCUAUCCUUGUUGUUUGUGAUUGGAGAUAACUGGAGGGUCAUGAUGCUUACCGUCCUUUUGGCACUCAGAGCCUGGGCUCCCGGUAGGGGCUGUUGGUUCCUCGCUGCCAGCAGCGGUCACACCAGGGCCAGGAGGAGGAGGGUGGUGGGAUAUGCUGUGACCACGAUGGGCUGGCGGGGACAUUGGCUCAUUGGCUGUGAAGGCAUCAAGCCCAGGGAGCCUUUCCCUUGAGCUGAACCUGCUCUAGCAGAAAGUAAAGGCGUUGGCUCAGUGUCACUUCUUCCCAGGCCAUGAGGGGGCUUUUUUUUCAGGAGGUAUUUGAGCUGUCCUGGCAACUCAGACAUGUUUAAAAAGGAAGCGUUUUCCUUGAACACUUUACACCGAAGCAGUCUAGAGGUGGGUGACUCCCAGUUAUCUGUCACGGAAGUCUGAUCUUGUCCUUUGUAGCCAGUGGGUCAGAGCUGCUGGUUGGCUGUGCCUGGCUUGCCUCCUGGCAUCAACCUGAGAAUUGUAUGGUGAGAAGCUAAGGAGUGAGUGCCCCUACGUUAAAGAGGUCACAUCCCAGAUGUUUACACUUCUGGCUACAGGGAGGGGAAAAACUUGGGUUGUUGGCUACUUGGCCCCUUUCCUGUACAGACGAGGGGAAAAUCUGUACCAGUGACUUGUGAGCAUUGACUUUCUAGAAUGAGCUUUCUCUUUUAAAAGAGAAAUAGGAACAGUGCUUACUUUUCUGGAUCACACCUCACUUAGCAUUCAUUACUUAGAGAAACAUGCCUUGUGUAGAAAAGGAAAGAAAA